AGAACGAACGCUGGCGGCAUGCCUAAUACAUGCAAGUCGAACGAACACUUCGGUGUUAGUGGCGCACGGGUGCGUAACGCGUGGGAAUCUGCCCUUGGGUUCGGAAUAACAGUUGGAAACGACUGCUAAUACCGGAUGAUGACGAAAGUCCAAAGAUUUAUCGCCCAGGGAUGAGCCCGCGUAGGAUUAGCUAGUUGGUGAGGUAAAGGCUCGACCAAGGCGACGAUCCUUAGCUGGUCUGGAGAGGAUGGUCGGCCACACGUGGACUGAGACACGGCCCAGACCUCCGUACGGGAGCGAGCGAGGUAGGGAAUAUGGAACAAGUGGGACGAAGCCUAGAUCCGAGCAAGUCGCCG
rnacentral:rRNA from 1 species